GCAAGUAAAAAGACAGGACGAACGAUGAACAAAGAAACAAAUGAACGAAGAAAUGCAUCAAGCAAGAAAAGGACUACGCAGAAGAAACGGGCAACACCACGGAGUUGCCGCAGAUCCCUUUCCAUCUCUUGUGUUCACAUGUUUUUCUUUCGUCUUUUUCGUGCUGUUCCAGUUUUUCUUUCCUC
rnacentral:ribozyme from 11 species